rnacentral:tRNA from 1 species
GCCUCCGUAGCUCAGUGGAUAGAGCGUCUGCCUUCUAAGCAGCGGGUCGCAGGUUCGAAUCCUGCCGGGGGCG